AAUAGAUACCCAGGUAGUCCACCCCGUAAACGUUGGGAACUAGUUGUGGGGUCCAUUCCACGGAUUCCGUGACGCAGCUAACGCAUUAAAGUUCCCCGCCUGGGGAGUACGGCCGCAAGGCUAAAACUCAAAGGAAUUGACGGGGACCCGCACAAGCGGCGGAGCAUGCGGAUUAAUUCGAUGCAACGCGAAGAACCUUACCAAGGCUUGACAUAUACGAGAACGCUGCAGAAAUGUAGAACUCUUUGGACACUCGUAAACAGGUGGUGCAUGGUUGUCGUCAGCUCGUGUCGUGAGAUGUUGGGUUAAGUCCCGCAACGAGCGCAACCCUCGUUCUAUGUUGCCAGCACGUAAUGGUGGGAACUCAUGGGAUACUGCCGGGGUCAACUCGGAGGAAGGUGGGGAUGACGUCAAAUCAUCAUGCCCCUUAUGUCUUGGGCUUCACGCAUGCUACAAUGGCCGGUACAAAGGGCUGCAAUACCGUAAGGUGGAGCGAAUCCCAAAAAGCCGGUCCCAAUUCGGAUUGAGGUCUGCAACUCGA
rnacentral:rRNA from 1 species